rnacentral:lncRNA from 1 species
UCUUUUUCCUUUUUAUCGGUACCAGGGAUUGAACUCACAACUGCCUGCUUGGAAGACAGGCGCUUAUGCCACUGAGCUAAAUCCCCAGCCCAAUACAAAACUUUAUGACUUCGCUUGUUUCUUGGCAUGGAUCCCCAACACUUGACCCUUCAAUUUCAGAAGCCAAUUUGAAACAAAGGGGCAGAAUGCUGCAGGAAGAAAGUGGAAAUGACAAGACUUGGGUCAUGUGAAUGUUGAG